AUAUUAUAUAAACGACAUGCAAUAUAACGUUCUAGAUUACAUUGAUAGAAAU
rnacentral:guide_RNA from 1 species